rnacentral:rRNA from 1 species
GCGCCAGACUCCUACGGGAGGCAGCAGUGGGGGAUAUUGCACAAUGGGGGGAACCCUGAUGCAGCGACGCCGCGUGGGUGAAGAAGCGCCUCGGCGCGUAAAGCCCUAUCGGCAGGGAAGAAGCAAGACGGUACCUGACUAAGAAGCCCCGGCUAACUACGUGCCAGCAGCCGCGGUAAUACGUAGGGGGCGAGCGUUAUCCGGAUUCACUGGGUGUAAAGGGAGCGUAGACGGCCAUGCAAGCCAGGGGUGAAAGCCCGGGGCCCAACCCCGGGACUGCUCUUGGAACUGCGUGGCUGGAGUGCAGGAGGGGCAGGCGGAAUUCCUGGUGUAGCGGUGAAAUGCGUAGAUAUUAGGAGGAACAUCAGUGGCGAAGGCGGCUUACUGGACUGUAACUGACGUUGAGGCUCGAAGGCGUGGGGAGCAAACAGGAUUAGAUACCCCCGUAGG